rnacentral:rRNA from 1 species
ACCAAGGCAGUGACGGGUAGCUGGUCUGAGAGGAUGGCCAGCCACAUUGGGACUGAGAGACGGCCCAGACUCCUACGGGAGGCAGCAGUGGGGAAUCUUGCGCAAUGGCCGCAAGGCUGACGCAGCGACGCCGCGUGGGGGAGGAAGGGCUUCGGCUCGUAAACCCCUGUUGCCCGGGGCGAACCUCUGGUUUCGACCAGACUGACGGUACCGGGUGAGGAAGCACCGGCUAACUCCGUGCCAGCAGCCGCGGUAAUACGGAGGGUGCGAGCGUUGUCCGGAAUCACUGGGCGUAAAGGGCGCGUAGGCGGCAUGCCAAGCGUGUGGUGAAAGCCCGGGGCUCAACCCCGGGUCGGCCGUGCGGACUGGCAUGCUCGAGCACUGUAGGGGCGGGUGGAAUUCCGGGUGUAGCGGUGGAAUGCGUAGAGAUCCGGAAGAACACCGGUGGCGAAGGCGGCCCGCUGGGCAGGAAGACGGAGCAAUCCGUCGGCUGACGCUGAGGCGCGACAGCGUGGGGAGCAAACAGGAUUAGAUACCCUGGUAGUCCACGCCGUAAACGAUGGGCACUAGG